rnacentral:rRNA from 1 species
CCUACGGGGGGCUGCAGUGGGGAAUAUUGGACAAUGGGGGGAACCCUGAUCCAGCCAUGCCGCGUGUGUGAAGAAGGCCCUCGGGUUGUAAAGCACUUUCAGUGAGGAAGAACGCCUGGUGGUUAAUACCCAUCAGGAAAGACAUCACUCACAGAAGAAGCACCGGCUAACUCCGGGCCAGCAGCCGCGGUAAUACGGAGGGUGCGAGCGUUAAUCGGAAUUACUGGGCGUAAAGCGCGCGUAGGUGGCUUGAUAAGCCGGUUGUGAAAGCCCCGGGCUCAACCUGGGAACGGCAUCCGGAACUGUCAAGCUAGAGUGCAGGAGAGGAAGGUAGAAUUCCCGGUGUAGCGGUGAAAUGCGUAGAGAUCGGGAGGAAUACCAGUGGCGAAGGCGGCCUUCUGGACUGACACUGACACUGAGGUGCGAAAGCGUGGGUAGCAAACAGGAUUAGAUACCCGGGUAGUC